AGGAUGGAUGGAAAGAACCUGAGCAGGUGAAUGAAGGGUCAGGCGAAAACACCUGCCCGGAGCUGCUUGUUUGCUGAGUGCAAAGUCCAGCUGAAAACAGCUGACCUGUGUGGAAGUUGUUAAAGAAAUUAACAAGCGGCGCUGACCCUUUGCAUGUGUCCUUGGAAAUAAAUACGGGAGGAAUGUAGCUGAGGAGGCCACUUUCUUUCUCCUUUAGGUUCCCUCUUCUCUCUAAGCACCAUGUGCUCUGAGUACUCAUUCGUUCCUUCGCUACCGAGCUCAGGAGCCAAAGAGCAGCCUCGACAAGUGGUGACCCAGACAUGCCUCAGGAAUUCACGCGUCCGGUGAGCGUUUCUGUCGUCCAGACUACAAGGGGAAUCACCUGCACAGGCGCAGUUUGCCGGGCUCAUGUCUUAACCCCGCCUGUGUUUGAGCCCCUAACACGGGGGGACUGGAGAAUCUUCUGCCUACCAACGACUCAGCAUGGACUGGGGAAGGACAUUGCCUCCACGUCCCUGGCAGAGAAGCAGAACGGACUGGCUUAAUAGCACAGAGUCAGCAGUUUAUCGUUCCUCUAAUCCUCCUGUGGGUGUUACCGACUUACAUCAUACAGCACGGACGGAUCCGCCAAUUGAUGACCUCCCAAUGCCAGUAUGAAGAGGCACUGGCUGAAGCUUACAUCUUUUUCCUACGCACACCCCGUCUCUAAUUUUAAACAUGCACAAGGGGACCUGCUGGGGCUGGGCCUGGAAGAAAGGAUGGAUGGAUGGAUGGAUGGAUGGAUGGAUGGAUGGAUGGAUGGAAAGAACCUGAGCAGGUGAAUGAAGGGUCAGGCGAAAACACCUGCCCGGAGCUGCUUGUUUGCUGAGUGCAAAGUUCAGCUGAAAACAGCUGACCUGUGUGGAAGUUGUUAAAGAAAUUAGCAGACGGCUCGGAUCCUUUGCACGUGUCCUUGGAAAUAAAUACAGGGAGGAACGUAGCUGAGGGGACCAUUUUCUCCUUUAGAUUUUGGCCUCUCCCCUUCUCUCUAA